rnacentral:tRNA from 1 species
GGGAAUGUGGCUCAGUGGUAGAGUGUUUGCCUAGCAUGCAUAAGGUCCUGGGUUUGAUUCCUCAGUACCA